rnacentral:rRNA from 2 species
AGCAGCCGCGGUAAUUCCAGCUCCAAUAGCGUAUAUUAAAGUUGUUGCAGUUAAAAAGCUCGUAGUUGAAUUUCGGGGUCAGUAGGUCGGUCGUGCCACUGGUAUGAACUGGUUUUACUGAUUCCUCCCUCUUGAAGAACUGUAAUGCCAUUAAUUUGGUGUUGCAGGGAAUCAGGACUGUUACUUUGAAAAAAUUAGAGUGUUUAAAGCAGGCUCGCGCUUGAAUACAUUAGCAUGGAAUAAUGAAAUAGGACGUUGACCCUAUUUUGUUGGUUUCUAGGAUUGACGUAAUGAUUAAUAGGGAUAGUUGGGGGCAUUAGUAUUCAAUUGUCAGAGGUGAAAUUCUUGGAUUUAUUGAAGACUAACUACUGCGAAAGCAUUUGCCAAGGAUGUUUUCAUUAAUCAAGAACGAAAGUUAGGGGAUCGAAGACGAUCAGAUACCGUCGUAGUCUUAACCAUAAACUAUGCCGACUAGGGAUCGGAUGAUGUUAUUUUUAAUGACUCA